AUUGAACGCUGGCGGCAUGCCUUACACAUGCAAGUCGAACGGCAGCACGGGAGCAAUCCUGGUGGCGAGUGGCGAACGGGUGAGUAAAGUAUCGGAACGUGCCCAGUCGUGGGGGAUAACGUAGCGAAAGUUACGCUAAUACCGCAUACGAUCUAUGGAUGAAAGCGGGGGAUCGCAAGACCUCGCGCGAUUGGAGCGGCCGAUAUCAGAUUAGGUAGUUGGUGGGGUAAAGGCUCACCAAGCCGACGAUCUGUAGCUGGUCUGAGAGGACGACCAGCCACACUGGGACUGAGACACGGCCCAGACUCCGACGGGAGGCAGCAGUGGGGAAUUUUGGACAAUGGGCGAAAGCCUGAUCUAGCAUGCCGCGUGCAGGAUGAAGGCCUUCGGGUUGUAAACUGCUUUUGUACGGAACGAAAAGGUUUGGCCUAAUAAGCUGAGCUCAUGACGGUACCGUAAGAAUAAGCACCGGCUAACUACGUGCCAGCAGCCGCCGUAA
rnacentral:rRNA from 1 species